AGUGCGCGUCUGCGAGACCGACUUGGACGGAGCCGAGCUGAGGCUCGGCUUCCUGCUGAUGGUCAGGGUUUUGGCAACUCCCCGGUGUGAGAGGGGUAGGGAGUGCUCCCGGCGGCGACGGGGCCGAGUUCACCAGCCGCCGGGGCAGUAGUCGAAGGCCCGGCGCGGCAUGUCCUGGGUGCCGCGGUGCGGGCAGUGAACGCGCGCCGGGCGGGAUGGGCCGGCGCCGGGCGCCAGAGCUGUACCGGGCUCCGUUCCCGUUGUACGCGCUUCAGGUCGACCCCAGCACUGGGCUGCUCAUCGCUGCGGGCGGAGGAGGCGCCGCCAAGACAGGCAUAAAGAAUGGCGUGCACUUUCUGCAGCUAGAGCUGAUUAAUGGGCGCUUGAGUGCCUCCUUGCUGCACUCCCAUGACACAGAGACACGGGCCACCAUGAACUUGGCACUGGCUGGUGACAUCCUUGCUGCAGGGCAGGAUGCCCACUGUCAGCUCCUGCGCUUCCAGGCACAUCAACAGCAGGGCAACAAGGCAGAGAAGGCCGGUUCCAAGGAGCAGGGGCCUCGACAAAGGAAGGGAGCAGCCCCAGCAGAGAAGAAAUGUGGAGCGGAAACCCAGCACGAGGGGCUAGAACUCAGGGUAGAGAAUUUGCAGGCGGUGCAGACAGACUUUAGCUCCGAUCCACUGCAGAAAGUUGUGUGCUUCAACCACGAUAAUACCCUGCUUGCCACUGGAGGAACAGAUGGCUACGUCCGUGUCUGGAAGGUGCCCAGCCUGGAGAAGGUUCUGGAGUUCAAAGCCCACGAAGGGGAGAUUGAAGACCUGGCUUUAGGGCCUGAUGGCAAGUUGGUAACCGUGGGCCGGGACCUUAAGGCCUCUGUGUGGCAGAAGGAUCAGCUGGUGACACAGCUGCACUGGCAAGAAAAUGGACCCACCUUUUCCAGCACACCUUACCGCUACCAGGCCUGCAGGUUUGGGCAGGUUCCAGACCAGCCUGCUGGCCUGCGACUCUUCACAGUGCAAAUUCCCCACAAGCGCCUGCGCCAGCCCCCUCCCUGCUACCUCACAGCCUGGGAUGGCUCCAACUUCUUGCCCCUUCGGACCAAGUCCUGUGGCCAUGAAGUCGUCUCCUGCCUCGAUGUCAGGUGUGAGACAUUGCUGCCUUGGCUAGUGAAUCCGGCACCUUCCUAGGCCUGGGCACAGUCACUGGCUCUGUUGCCAUCUACAUAGCUUUCUCUCUCCAGUGCCUCUACUACGUGAGGGAGGCCCAUGGCAUUGUGGUGACGGAUGUGGCCUUUCUACCUGAGAAGGGUCGUGGUCCAGAGCUCCUUGGGUCCCAUGAAACUGCCCUGUUCUCUGUGGCUGUGGACAGUCGUUGCCAGCUGCAUCUGUUGCCCUCACGGCGGAGUGUUCCUGUGUGGCUCCUGCUCCUGCUGUGUGUCGGGCUUAUUAUUGUGACCAUCCUGCUGCUCCAGAGUGCCUUUCCAGGUUUCCUUUAGCUUCCCUGCUUCCUGGGAAUCAGGAGCCUGGACACUGCCAUCUCUAGAGCAGAGUGGAGGCCUGGACUCCCUUUGCUCACUCCAUUCGGGUCCACAGCUGAGGUUGCCGCUGACAAGAUGAAUGGGCACUGCCUGCCCUUCUAGUGAAAAGGCUUGGCUAUGGCCCUGUGUGACUCCAGGUCCCAGGAACCUUGCCUUCGUCAUCUGUGGAUCCAUCCAGAACAGCGGUAUCUGAAGCCCAGGCCAUACUCCCUGCCUCCUUUCUUCUGCCUACCAGAGGCUCCAGAGUUGAGCUUGUCCUUAUCUAGAAACAUGUGAAGAUGCCCAAGAGCCUGGAGGCACUGCUGUCCUUCCUGCAGAAACAGUUUCUCCUCCUCCCCUCAGCCUUGUGGCCAGUUCCUCUUCACAUGAAGCCCCUGGCAUUUGCUGGGGAAGGGACUGGCCUGGUACUUGCUGUUAGGGCAGGAAGGGGCAAAAGGAAGACUUGGGUAGUAAUCUGGGGGUUCAGAUGGGUAGCACUAAGCCAGCUGGCCUAAAGAUGCAAUAAGUUCCUAGGUAGUCUACCCUUACCUUGAGGAAUGGGAAAAUGAACCUCAGCCCAUUAGGCAGGAAAAGUUGAUAUUUAAUAAACAAGGAAAGAGUGAACUGAGACCCCAAA